AAAAACAAUGUUUUGAACCACCAGGACCAACCUUAUAUUACAAACAAAAUACAACACCUAGACCAAUGUCAAAAAACCUAUGAGCGAAAAAGUAGCGUUGAGUCAUUAACUUACCACUGAUUUGGAAAGGCUUCACGAUAAUUUGAAUCCUCAGCCACCGUUAACUGCCGUACUGUUGCAUCUCUAGCACGGGCGUUUAGAAGCCUUUGACCCAAUCUAUCUUUGGCAGUUUCUUUCUUUUUUAACAUAGAUGCUAGAGUUUCUUUCUUACUCGUGGACGAAGAUUUAGAUAAAGACGAUCUAUCCUGAUCUUCUCCAGCAUGUAAGGAUCUUGA
rnacentral:misc_RNA from 1 species